AAAUUGAAGAGUUUGAUCAUGGCUCAGAUUGAACGCUGGCGGCAGGCCUAACACAUGCAAGUCGAGCGGAAACGACAUUAUUGAUUCUUCGGAGGAUUUAAUGGGCGUCGAGCGGCGGACGGGUGAGUAAUGCCUAGGAAAUUGCCUUGAUGUGGGGGAUAACCAUUGGAAACGAUGGCUAAUACCGCAUAAUGCCUACGGGCCAAAGAGGGGGAUCUUCGGACCUCUCGCGUCAAGAUAUG
rnacentral:rRNA from 1 species